rnacentral:rRNA from 1 species
GAUGAGCGCUAGCUACAGGCUUAACACAUGCAAGUCGCGGGGCAGCAUGGGGGUUGCUUGCAAUCCCCGAUGGCGACCGGCGCACGGGUGAGUAACGCGUAUCCAACCUGCCCUUCACCACGGGAUAACCCGGCGAAAGUCGGACUAAUACCGUAUGUUGUCCAUUGACGGCAUCCGAUUUGGACGAAAGGUUUGGCGGUGAAGGAUGGGGAUGCGUCCGAUUAGCUGGACGGCGGGGUGACGGCCCACCGUGGCGACGAUCGGUAGGGGUUCUGAGAGGAAGGUCCCCCACACUGGAACUGAGACACGGUCCAGACUCCUACGGGAGGCAGCAGUGAGGAAUAUUGGUCAAUGGGCGUAAGCCUGAACCAGCCAAGUAGCGUGCAGGAUGACGGCCCUAUGGGUUGUAAACUGCUUUUAUGCGGGGAUAAAGUGGCCCACGUGUGGGUUUUUGCAGGUACCGCAUGAAUAAGGACCGGCUAAUUCCGUG